AAAAGAUGGUGUGAACUCCACAGAGAAGCAUCAAAAUGCUACAAAAAAUAUGGCUCCUAGACAACAACCACAAACAACACAUGAACAAUUGUAGCACACAGACAUAGCGAUGCCAAACAGAAUAGUAGCGUCACAAAAAACAACAAGCAGAAAAGAAAAACAAUGAGAAAACCAACCACAACCAGACCCAGGGGCAUCAAAACAGAAGAACAGAAAUAAAAAGGUGAACAGCAAACCGAUCAGCUGAAGAACCAAGUCAGCCAAACAUUUGAAGAAGAUAUAUAGACCGACCAAUCACAUCCCCAGCUAAUCGAUCAACAAGUUGGAUUAAUUUGUUGUUUCGAAACAUGUUUGGAUUAAUGUUUUUUGAUGACCUGUAUGUGGUGUUUCACAAUUCUUCAGAUUCAGGCCAAUAAAUUUUAGUUGCCUUGAGAAUAAAAGAUCGCAUGUUAGUUGCUUCUCUCUGCCUUGGUGCUACUAGGCUUUGUUGGACCUUGUGUUGAUUCUUACAGAUUAUUAUGUGGUGGUAAAGUAGGAAUGAAUUGAUAGGUACGAAUUGCAUGACUUGAACAUGGUUUUUCUUAGUUUCCUUUCUCGAAACCCAACUUAAUUUGGACUUAUGUUCACUUUGUUUUAUGCAAGCUUCAUUUUUCG
rnacentral:lncRNA from 1 species